rnacentral:rRNA from 1 species
GAUGAACGCUGGCGGCGUGCCUAAUACAUGCAAGUCGAGCGAACAGACGAGGAGCUUGCUCCUUUGACGUUAGCGGCGGACGGGUGAGUAACACGUAGGUAACCUACCUAUAAGACUGGGAUAACUUCGGGAAACCGGAGCUAAUACCGGAUAAUAUUUCGAACCGCAUGGUUCGAUAGUGAAAGAUGGCUUUGCUAUCACUUAUAGAUGGACCUGCGCCGUAUUAGCUAGUUGGUAAGGUAACGGCUUACCAAGGCAACGAUACGUAGCCGACCUGAGAGGGUGAUCGGCCACACUGGAACUGAGACACGGUCCAGACUCCUACGGGAGGCAGCAGUAGGGAAUCUUCCGCAAUGGGCGAAAGCCUGACGGAGCAACGCCGCGUGAGUGAUGAAGGUCUUCUGAUCGUAAAACUCUGUUAUUAGGGAAGAACAAACGUGUAAGUAACUGUGCACGUCUUGACGGUACCUAAUCAGAAAGCCACGGUUAACUACGUG